GAUGAACGCUAGCGGCGGGCUUAAUUCAUGCAAGUCGAGGGGCAGCACAGGCAGCAAUACUGGGUGGCGAUCGGCAAACGGGUGCGGCACAAGUACACAACAUACCUUCUGGUGGGGGCUAGCCCUUGUAGAUGGAGAUUAAUACCCAAUAUUAUAUAUGAGCUGCAUGGUUUGUAUAUUAAAUAUUUAUUGUCGGAAGAUUGGUUUGCGUAUGAUUUGGUAGUUGGGGGAGUAACGGCCCACCAAGCCGACGAUCAAUAACUGGUGUGAGAGCACGACCAGUCACACGGGCACUGAGACACGGGCCCGACUCCUACGGGAGGCAGCAGUAAGGAAUAUUGGUCAAUGGACGGAAGUCUGAACCAGCCAUGCCGCGUGGAGGAUGAAGGUCCUCUGGAUUGUAAACUUCUUUUAUAGGGGGCGAAAAAAGGGAAUUCUUUCUCGUCUGACGGUACCCUAUGAAUAAGCACCGGCUAACUCCGUGCCAGCAGCCGCAGUAACAC
rnacentral:rRNA from 1 species